GACGAACGCUGGCGGCGUGCUUAACACAUGCAAGUCGAACGGAAAGGCCCUGCUUUUGUGGGGUGCUCGAGUGGCGAACGGGUGAGUAACACGUGAGUAACCUGCCCUUGACUUUGGGAUAACUUCAGGAAACUGGGGCUAAUACCGGAUAGGAGCUCCUGCUGCACGGUGGGGGUUGGAAAGUUUCGGCGGUUGGGGAUGGACUCGCGGCUUAUCAGCUUGUUGGUGGGGUAGUGGCUUACCAAGGCUUUGACGGGUAGCCGGCCUGGGAGGGGUGACGGGCACAUUGGGACUGAGGGAGGGACCAGAAUGCUACGGGAGGCAGCAGGGGGGAGUAUUACAGAGUGGGCGGAAGCCUGAUGCAACAACGCUGCGUGCGGGAUGACGGCCUUCGGGGUGUAAACCGCUUUCGACUGUGACGAAGAGGGAGUGACGGUAAUGGGUAAGGAAGCACCGGCUAACUACGUG
rnacentral:rRNA from 1 species